GCAGUCAGGGGCAGCGCGGGGUAGCAAUACUCUGGCGGCGACCGGCGGAAGGGUGCGUAACACGUGAGCGACUUGCCCGAUACAGGGAGAUAACCGGUGGAAACGCCGACUAAUAUCCCAUAGGACAUGUGACUGCAUGGUCGCAUGUUGAAAGGUUCGCCGGUAUCGGAUAGGCUCGCGGGACAUUAGCUUGAUGGCGGGGCAACGGCCCACCAUGGCGACGAUGUCUAGGGGUUCUGAGAGGAAGACCCCCCACACUGGGACUGAGACACGGCCCAGACUCCUACGGGAGGCAGCAGUGAGGAAUAUUGGUCAAUGGGCGGAAGCCUGAACCAGCCAUGCCGCGUGAAGGACUAAGGCCCUAUGGGUCGUAAACUUCUUUAGACGCAGAGCAAUAAGGGCCUCGCGAGGUCCGAUGAGAGUAUGCGUAGAAUAAGCAUCGGCUAACUCCGUGCCAGCAGCCGCGGUAAUACGGGGGAUGCGAGCGUUAUCCGGAUUUAUUGGGUUUAAAGGGUGCGUAGGCGGCGAAUUAAGUCAGCGGUGAAAGACCGGGGCUCAACCCUGGAAGUGCCGUUGAUACUGAUUGGCU
rnacentral:rRNA from 1 species